rnacentral:lncRNA from 1 species
CAAGGCAAAAACAGAAAGGACAAAAGCACAUAAAGAGGAAAAACAAAACAACAAACACAAAAGCAAUCCUGAGCCAGCUUGCCAACAUCGUCUGGUAUGCAACUUUCUUCACUAUCAUCUGCCAAAGAAAUUUGAUUCAUUAGCUAUGCAAUUGACAUCAAAUAAUGUUGAAUAUAAUGAGCAUAUGAGGACACCAGAACCAUUCAAUAAAAGAAUCUAUGUAUUCAUAAUCAGUUUUAGAAAAUGAAAUGGACAUAUAUAGAAGAAACAUAACGUUACCCGUGACUGUGGUUUCUCAUCAUUGGCUUUGCAACUUUGAUCACACCUGCCACAUAAAUCUUAUCAGCUACAUCUUCCACCCAUCUGAAGUAAGCAUGCCUCCAUUUCUUCUUG